rnacentral:rRNA from 1 species
UACGAAGGGGACUAGCGUUGUUCGGAUUUACUGGGCGUAAAGCGCACGUAGGCGGCGCCGUAAGUCAGGGGUGAAAUCCUGGAGCUCAACUCCAGAACUGCCUUUGAUACUGAAGAUCUUGAGUUCGGGAGAGGUGAGUGGAACUGCGAGUGUAGAGGUGAAAUUCGUAGAUAUUCGCAAGAACACCAGUGGCGAAGGCGGCUCACUGGCCCGAUACUGACGCUGAGGCACGAAAGCGUGGGGAGCAAACAGG